rnacentral:rRNA from 1 species
UUGAAAGGGAAACGAUUGAAGUCAGUCGUACCGGCGGUAGUCAGCCUUUUGGGUGUGAUUAUGUGGAGUGUGAGGAGUUAAACACCCUCAUCUUUGCAUAUUCGUGCACUUUGGGUGUACUUGCUCGUGUGGUAGGUUAACAUCAAUUUUGAUCGUCAUAAAAUGAUUGGAGGAAUGUAGCUUCGAUCUCGUAUUGAAGUGUUAUAGCCUUCGGUAGAUGUGAUGAUUGGGAUUGAGGAUUGCAACGGAUACCCUUCGGGGCUACCUGUCUGAUCUCUGAAAGUUGCUCUGGUGCUGAAAGCUUGCUUAUGGUAUCAAAGUUGACGUUCAACAGGUUAGAACGGGAUAAAUUCGUUAAGGAUGUUGACGUA